GAUGAACGCUGGCGGCGUGCCUAAUACAUGCAAGUCGAGCGAACAGACGAGGAGCUUGCUCCUCUGACGUUAGCGGCGGACGGGUGAGUAACACGUGGAUAACCUACCUAUAAGACUGGGAUAACUUCGGGAAACCGGAGCUAAUACCGGAUAAUAUAUUGAACCGCAUGGUUCAAUAGUGAAAGACGGUUUUGCUGUCACUUAUAGAUGGAUCCGCGCUGCAUUAGCUAGUUGGUAAGGUAACGGCUUACCAAGGCAACGAUGCGUAGCCGACCUGAGAGGGUGAUCGGCCACACUGGAACGGAGACACGGUCCAGACUCCUACGGGAGGCAGCAGUAGGGAAUCUUCCGCAAUGGGCGAAAGCUUGACGGAGCAACGCCGCGUGAGUGAUGAAGGUCUUCGGAUCGUAAAACUCUGUUAUUAGGGAAGAACAAAUGUGUAAGUAACUAUGCACGUCUUGACGGUACCUAAUCAGAAAGCCACGGCUAACUACGUG
rnacentral:rRNA from 1 species